ensembl:lncRNA
CACUUUUCCAUUUUCUUGCUCUUGAUUAAAGAGCACUGAGAAUCUCUCAAAAUAGAAGCGAGGCUUGAAUUACAUCUGCCUCAAAAGGAAGGAAGAUAACAAGAAAACGAAGAGAAAACUUAAUUAAUUGUUGUUUGUAUCAUGUAGGGCUUUACUAGAGGAACCUUCUCCUUACCUGAUGAAGCUGUGGUAAAGCAUAGAAGAUAGAUGAGGGAAUCAUGACUGUACAGAUAAGCCAUGCUAACCACCACUGCUGACAUCAGUGGUGACACACAAACCAACAGAGCACCUCAAGUCCUUCCCACAGCAUUUGGGAUAAGCUCCAAAGCAUCUGCCCAGAACAAAGUGCUCCCAACAGGACCUUCAUUCAGUGACUGGUCUAACCGGCACAGCUCUCUCACCAUCACCUCUCUUCGACCAGAGCCAUAGGUUCCCCUCGCUUCCCAGCCCAAGCCUCAGCCUGCAGACCUGGGUUGAUAUGGUUUGUGUUACUCAGAUAAAAAGCCUUUGCACGGCAGGAAGAAGAGCAACAAUUUGCCAACUCAAGCUGCAUUUGCCAUCUGUUAUCCAAGAACUCAGCAGACUGUCUGUUCCAUCAGUGCAAUAAUAUUAUGUUGUUUUAAUGACCCCG